rnacentral:rRNA from 1 species
CCCUUAGAUGUUCUGGGCUGCACGCGCGCUACACUGAUGCACUCAACGAGUUUACGACUUUGCCCGAGAGGGUUGAGUAAUCUUUUUAAAAUGCAUCGUGAUGGGGAUAGAUUAUUGCAAUUAUUAAUCUUCAACGAGGAAUUCCUAGUAAGCGCGAGUCAUCAGCUCGUGCUGAUUACGUCCCUGCCCUUUGUACACACCGCCCGUCGCACCUACCGAUUGAAUGGUCCGGUGAAAUCUCGGGACGGCGGCUUGGUCGCUUGCGUCCGACUGCUGAAACUUGAUUAAACCAUAUCAUUUAGAGGAAGGUGAAGUCGUANCA